UACGGAGGGUGCAAGCGUUAUCCGGAUUUACUGGGUUUAAAGGGUGCGCAGGCGGAUAUGUAAGUCAGUGGUGAAAUCCCCGGGCUUAACCUGGGAACUGCACUUGAAACUACGAUGCUGGAGUAUGGCAGAGGGAGGUGGAAUUCCACGUGUAGCGGUGAAAUGCGUAGAUAUCUGGAGGAACACCGGUGGCGAAGGCGGCAUCCUGGACCGACACUGACGCUGAGGAGCGAAAGCCAGGGGAGCAAAGCGGG
rnacentral:rRNA from 1 species